rnacentral:lncRNA from 12 species
UUUCAAUCCAGUCAUCCCUUUGUUUGAGUGUCUGAUAUGUUCUCCAGUGCUCAGGACUGUGGGUUGAAAACCUACUGAAUUCCUUAGUCUGUGAUAUUAGGUGUAUUUUAUAGGUCCUACACUGUCUAGCAGGAGACAUUCAUUAUGCACAAGCCUCCAGAUAACAACAGGGCUGCUGUUUCAUCACAAGUUUUGUGCACUCCAUAUGCCAGGUUAUGAAUUUUAUUAGGGAAGUAAAAUUGAACAGAAUGUGGA